ACGGCAGCGGGGCGGGGCUGUACUGUGCAUCCAGGGGUGUUGAGUGCGCUGGGUGCUUUUGCACUGAGGUAGUUCGUAGGAUCAUAGAAUCGUUUAAGUUGGAAGGGACGUUCAAAGACUAUCUAGUGCAGCUCCCCUACAGUGAGCAGGGACACCUACAGCUCCAUCAGGGUGCUCAGAGCCCAGCCCAGCCUGACCUUGCGUGUCUCCAGGGAUGGGGCAUCCACGACCUCUGUUGGCAAGCUGUCCCAGUGCCUCACCACUCUUAUCAUAACAACCUUCCUCCUUAUAUCCAAUCGAAAUCUCCCAUCUUUUAGUUUCCUUUGUCCUUUCACAACAAGUAUUUGAGGUGGUGCUGUUUCAAAGCACGAACUGCUUCCUGUGCAGGGAAGAAGAAACUCCGUCUAAAAGACACGGCAGAGUUUGUGAGGGCUGGAACAAGUCUGUGCCACUGUCAGUUGGGGGGGAAGAAGGGGAACCACCCGUCCAUCACCUGACUGCAAAAAAUGUUCUACAAUUGUUCCUGCAUGAGAAUCAGAUAUUGCCCGCAAACUUGGAUGGCAUGUAAAACAGAUAUUAACAAGUGAUAAGAUUGUCCCUUCUAGUGCUACAAAUCCAGUCCUGGGCGACUUUUGCAUUCUGGUCAGUAGCUCCAUGUGUAUGCAUAUAAUCAUUCAUUGAAUCAUUCUGCCUCUGUUACAUCCUCAUUUGGACAUUCAUUUACAUAAUCUACUCACCACAAGAUGCAUUUUGCUCAUCUUAUUUUCUUAUUGGUAGCUUUAGAAUGAUUUAAAAAGAAAAUGACAUGUUAUUUAGUAAUGGCAAAUACAUUAUGGUAGCAGUAGAAGACUCCAGGGAGAAGCAUAACAUCAUUCUACUGUGUGAAUGCAGAGAGCAGUCCCUGUCCUAAACAGUCUGCAAUUCAGAGAUUGUGUAUUUAACAGCAAAGAAGAUAAAUAAAAGAAGGAACUGAUAGCUUCUGGGUAAGUUGUUUGCAGCGUCCUAAUUUACCAUGAAAGAAGUCAGCAGUAUAAAUGGUGUUACAGGAGAAGUUAUAAAGACAUGAAAGAUAUAUAGUGCAGAUCCUGUCCACAAGCCAUCAUCUCUCAGUGUAAGUCAAAUGCUACUUGUGUCUUCCCAGUGAUAUAAGACAAUGUGAACUAGGAAAUGGAACAACAGAUAGAAGAAAAGCAUAGCUGGAGGCAGAUGUUUGAAUACAAAUCAUCCCUUCAGGCUGAUGCACAAUUGCAGGGUUCCUGGAUUGACUCAUUGACAUUAUUUAUGCAAAACUUCUGGCCAUAUUCCCUCUGUGCAAUGUAUUACAAGUGAUGCAUUGCAGAAUUGGGUGAAUUUCUUGUAUUUCUCUAGAGUUUUCUAUCUUGUCCCUAUACAGCCUUCUAGAUGUAUCUCAGAAUUACUCAAAGCAGUAGUUUUCUUAUAGUAGCCCAGAAGCUAAAUGAAACACCUGGCCAUUUUUACUGACCACAUUCCCAGCUAUUGCAGUCUCAGACAAUGGCAAAACUCAUCAUCUUGCCUGGUCUAUAGUGAUUGCACGUGAGAUUUUAGGCUUUUCUUCUUUAACACAGUACAUCCUAAUUUUAUUUUGGAGUGUUGGAAGUUGUUUUGUAGCUUACAGCAUAUACUGUGUGUAAAACAGAUGUUCAGUAGACUCUAUGUGGCUGCAACUGUCCUACUAAAUGUUCAUUGGGCUUCUCUCUGGUGUGAGGCCAAUUGGCAUGGAACAGGCCACAUGCAUACUGUUUGACUCUAAACUUUGGAAAAGAGUAGCAAUAUAUGUACUACCUACUGGGAAUGAUCACUGUCUCAUGUUAACUUCCAGACAGUUGGUAGUAGAGCGCUAGCUGAGCAGGGCAGACACGAAAUCACAGAUUCGCAGAAUUAAAGGGGCUGGAAAGGACCUCUGGGGAUCGUUUUGUCCAAUCCUGUAGUAAAGCAGGUUCCCUACAGUAGGUUUCACAGGAAAGCAUCCGGGCGGGUUUUGAGUAUCUACAGAGAAGGAGACUCCACAACUUCUCUGGGCAGCCUGUUCCAGUCCUCUGUCACCCUCAAAGUAAGAAGUUCUUUCUCGUGUUCAGAUUGAACGUCUUGUGUUCCAGUUUGUGCCUAUACCCCUCGUCCUGUCACUGUGCACCACCAGAAAGAGUCUGGCCACAUACACUUGACACCCACCCUUUAAUUUAAAAGUAUUGAUAGGACUCCCUCUCAGUCUCUACCAGGAUGAGCAGUCCCAGCCUUUCUUCAUAUGGGAGAUGCUUCAGUCCCCUCAUUAUCUUUGUGGCCCUCCACUGGACUCCCUCUGUAAGUUACCUUUCUUGGACUGGGGAGUCCAGAAUUGGAGACAAUACUCCAGAUGUGGCCUGACCAGGGAAGAGUAGAGUACACGCUGAAGAAACAGUCAGGUUCUCACUGGGAUGCUUUUGGCAGAUCCUUCUGCUGACCUCGGCUUCCUGCCACGUCCAACAGGGGUAGUUAACAGUGUCCCUUUUCUUCUCUUUGUUUGUAUCCAGAUUCUCUGUGUAAUCUGCUUAAAAAGAUUCAGUGACCAUUUCCAUGCUAAUGAUUCAUAAGUCUACCUUUAAUGAAUCCCUCAUCUCAGCUGGUUUUAUGGGCUCUGAUCCAGGGAAGUACUUAAGCAUGUGCUUAGCUUUGAGCUUAUUGACAUUCCAGACUCAGGCCAGCAUCACACUUUUGAGAGCUGUCAAAAUAAUAACUAAUUUUAUUAUUGAAAUUGCCGUGCUUUGUGCUCUAAGGUUGACACAAAAAUCGGAUUAGUAUUGACCCUUCUAAAUAAGGGAUGUUAGAAAGUCAUUCAGCACACAAAUGAUUUCUGAAAAACUGAAGAAACCAACUACAUAAAUACAUAUAAAACAAAUUAUUUGCAGCUGAAUGUCACAACUUAAUAAUGUAUCCAGCACAAAUCUACAUUCAGGAGAGUGAACUUAUAAAGACAUAUGAACCACAUAUGAUGUACAUAUACUGUACUGUAUGUUAAUGUUUGUAUGUGUGUAUCUGUAUCUGUACAUACCUGUGUAUCCCUAUGAAUUGUAUAAAUCUGCCCUGUCAUCUUUAUACUGUAGAUCAUUAUAUUCAAAAUGUAGAGGAAGAAAAUGUGUCUUUCUGACCCCUUAUGUAUUUUGACUCUUUGACUGGAAUUCUGAGAAUCAUCUGAACAAGACUGUGCCCGUCUGUUUUACCACUAGGAGAAUGAUACCAACUUGUGUCUUGUCUUGUCUGUUGGUUAUUUAAUAAAUGUCAACAGCUUACUUGAUCUACAGCAAUCGUGCUACUGCUAGUAGUGUUCCCUUAUAUACCACAAGAACACGUCAGUGUAUACUGGUGUGUUUAUAAUGAGGAGAACAUUUUCAGAAUGAACUUAAGUGAAGUGUUCCCUAGCUAAAGGAGAAGGAAAAAGUAGAAAAUAACUUCAAAUGAAACGUUCCUUAGGCACAGAUAUGAGCCUUAUUUGGCCAUAUAUGGCAAGACCUAAAUUUGAACACAGCCUUCAUAUCAGCCUGAGAGCCAGGAACAGAUUGGCUUCCUGGCGAAAAGUGAGCGAAUUACUUCAGAAGCUUCUCUUCAUUAUGUUGUUCCUGAUGCCUUAAACUUUGUUAUAGUGAUAAUUGCUGCUUCUGGAUCUGUAAGUUUUCUCAACACUGGAUCAAGACUAGAGUUCAGGUCAGGCCAAAACUCCUGGGGCUCCCGAUCAUUGUGGCACUAACCUUUCCUAUGCUGGAGGGACAUGUACUCCCUCUUUUAUCAGACUGUACGCUCUUCAAACACACAAUAAGAGUGUUUUAACAUUUUAUAUUCUGAACAGAGAUGGCUGGUAACAGAUGGAAGAAGGGCAUCAUUGUUAUUAGCACAUUAAAGAUCUGGGAUGGAGAGUAGGUGGUGACAGGAUUUCCUUAUGAGUAUUAGUCAUCUGAAAGCUGUGGUAUGUGCAGAACAAGUUUGUUGUCCAGACUUUCCCAUUAGCUACAGGAACUUGAAAGAAACCUGCAGGAAAAGGUGUCCCCAAGGGCACUGAAAAUGCACUAGAGAAUUGCUUGGAGUGGACAGCUGAGUCAGGAAGGCAAAUCUCAUUUCCAGUGGCAGUGGCAAAUCUACCGGAGAAAUGUGAGGCAUAGCUAAAAAUUGGAAGCAGACAUCCAAACUCUGAUGUCAUAAGUGCAAUUCUGUUCUUUGUUUUGAAAGAUGAAUGUUAGGUGACAAAGAAAGAUGGAAGGGGAAUUUUCCUGCUGAGACAAAACUCAGAGUUGUUGAUGUAGGUCUAGAGCUUAUUCCUGAGAAAUCUUGUCAAUUUCAGAGAUUUAAAAUGCAUCUGAAGGCAGUAGAGAAUGUAAAAAAGUGGAAAUAUGGCUGUGAGCCAGACGAAGUGUGAUUGGUUAGCAGAAAAGCAGGUUCUAAUUGCAGUAGAGAGCUGAAAGUGACAAAACAGACCAUCCCCCUUAUCUUGCAAAGAUGGCCUACUGUGCCAUGCGACAAUGGCAGUUUAAGGCAUCUCAUUUAAAGUAAGGUAAAUUGAGAAGCAGUCUCUUUGUGGUCUGACCGAUGAAGCCACUGAGAAAGCAAGACCUCCUCCAAAGGGAUUAGUGAUUUAAAUACAAGGCUUGGUGGUGCUAAAGGAUAGCAAAGGUGAAAUCCCUCAUGCCAAAGAAAAAAUGACACUUUGCUAUUAAGUUUUUGUUCUCAGGAUGGAUUUUAGGCAAGAGAAAGAAAAGUAAAGAUGUGAAAAAAAUAGCAUGUCUGUAAAGGAAAAGGAAAAGAAUUGUAAAACCAUUUAAGUUCAUUUGCAGUGUAAUAGAACCUAUUCACAGAAAUAUCUACAGCAAUCCUCUUUAAUCUGAAAAAUUGUAUAGUCCUGCAUGAGCUGAAGUUAACAGGACUUGUAUUUGAGUGAGAUUUGAUUUUUAUACUGGGACAUUUUCUGUGAUACUAUUUUGUUCUGUUUUCUGGCGCUGUCUGUCUUGCCAUGCACGUACAUUGCAUUCUGUUCUACGUAGAAUAACUUCUUCACUACUUGUGCCGCAAACGUUUCCCUUUACAAAACAGCUGAUGGUCCUUACAUGCAGCAUGGAUAAAUACGUGAGUACUCUGUUUCGUUCCAGCAAGGAUCCUUAAAGACAAUGUUCCCUUUACAGUCUGUCACUGGCAGCUUUUUCAAACUCUCCAGUCAUAACCCAAGUAGAGACUUCACUUUGAGAUGCCCUCUGUGGUCUUCACAGCCAGUGCAGGUCCUGUACUGCCCUUGCGCUAUAAGAGGAUGAGAGUAUGUAGGUAAGUCUGCAUUACUCUGACAUGAAAAAUAGUAUUUUCAAGGAGAUCUUCAAGGAGACAUUAGAAUCCACAUUAGAGGGGCCACGUGGACUCCCUGUUCAUUGCAGGGGAGUUAGACUAGAGGACCUUUAAGGGUCUCUUCCAACUCAAAGGAUUCUAUGAUGAUUCUUUAAUAUGUGAAAGCAAUGUGCCAGCAAAACUGCCUCAAUACAACCUUCUAGUGUAGAAGAGACGUAGACACGAGUGACCUGAAUAGCCUCACUGAGCAUGUGGACAUGAAGGUCUUGUUUUUAUCAGGGUCAUCACUAAUACCUUGUUCAGGCUUUGUUUCACUUCCCCCAUCUUAUCCCAUAAAAUGCUUAAUCUGUAUCAUGAGUAUCCUAAGGUGACUAAUGAUAUGAUCUGAUUCCACUGUAAUAUACCCAGCCUAAAGUCUCUUUCAAGAAGUGCCAAGUACUCUUCUCUAAACAUACCAUCACUCUGUGAAAAAAUGCCAGUGGUUGGAAACCCCGAAAUCAGGUAAUUCUGAAAGCUAAAUCACUUCUAAGAGUUCUGCCCUUAGUCUGUUAGUUUCAAAAAUUUGAAACAGCACCUCUGAGUUGAGGGCAGUGGAUGCUAAACAAAGGAUACAAUUUGCGUUACUUAACAUGUUUGCAUUAUUUAGCAGAUGGGCCUGGCAAAAGCUGGCACUACAUCUCCUGCCUUGCCUCCCUGCUGUGCGCUUUCAGUCCUGAACAGGUAAGGAUUCAGUUUCCAUUCCCAUGCUCCCCGUAUUGACAGAUGAAAGAGACAAAGCAAAGGGAACAAGAAUUCAGACAAGCAGCUUGGAACAACAGAAGAUGCAUAUUGCCAAAUGCCCGAUCCAUCACCAUCAGCAUCACUGAAUUCAACAUCUUUCUGCGCUUUCAAAUCAUCAUGGGCUUUAUAGGUCUCUCCCUCCCAGUUUCUAAAUCUCUUUGUUGUCUUGUAUCAUUUUUCUUUCGAGUGGAUAUUAUUUUCUGGGCUUUCUCUUUGCUUCCACACAUAUUUUUAUGCAAGUCAGAAAAGAUGUUUUGUCACCUGGAGCUAAGCUGCCAACUGAAACUGGCUGGUGUGUGAACAUUAGGCCAG